AUUGAACGCUGGCGGCAGGCCUAACACAUGCAAGUCGAGCGAGCGGCGGACGGGUGAGGAAUGUAUGGGGACUGCCCGAUAGAGGGGGAUAACUACUGGAAACGGUAGCUAAUACCGCAUACUAUCGGAUAACCCAGAUGGGAUUAGCUAGUAGGGGAGGUAAUGGCUCACCUAGGAGACGAACCCUAGCUGGUCUGAGAGGAUGAUCAGCCGCACUAGGACUGUGCCACGGCCCAGGCUCCUACGGGGGCAGCAGUGGGUAAUAUUGCACAAUGGGCUCAACCCUGAUGCAGCCAUGCCGCGUGUAUUAAGACGGCCUUAGGGUUGUAAAGUACUUUCAUUCGGGAGGCGUUACCGACAGAAGAAGCACCGGCUAACUCCGUGCCAGCAGCCGCGGUAAUAC
rnacentral:rRNA from 1 species